rnacentral:lncRNA from 1 species
AUGUCAGACUCAGCAGUAGAUACCAGCUCCGAGAUCACCACCAAGGACUUGAAGGAGAAGAAGGAAGUUGUCAAAGAGGCAGAGAAUGGAAGGGAUGCGCCUGCCAAUGGGAAUGCUCAAAAUGAGGAAAAUGGCGAGCAGGAGGCUGACAAUGAGGUAGAUAAAAAGUGGAAGAAGGAAGGGGAGACGGAGAAGGAAGAGGAGGAAGGUGACGGUGAGGAAGAGGAUGGAGAUGAAGCUGAGGAAGGUGAGAUUCCUACGGACAAGCAGGUAGCUGAGAAUGAUGAGGAUGACAAUGUUGACACCAAGAAGCAGAAGACUGAUGAGGAUGAUUAG